rnacentral:rRNA from 1 species
GACGAACGCUGGCGGCGUGCUUAACACAUGCAAGUCGAACGGAGUGCCUCAGAAAGAGAUUUCGGUCAAUGGACGGGGUUACUUAGUGGCGGACGGGUGAGUAACGCGUGAGGAACCUGCCUUUCAGAGGGGGACAACAGCUGGAAACGGCUGCUAAUACCGCAUAACGUACAGUCAUCGCAUGGUGGCGGUACCAAAGAUUUAUCGCUGAAAGAUGGCCUCGCGUCUGAUUAGCUAGUUGGUAGGGUAACGGCCUACCAAGGCGACGAUCAGUAGCCGGACUGAGAGGUUGGCCGGCCACAUUGGGACUGAGAUACGGCCCAG